GGUUUGCUGAACCUAAAAUCAGCAACACAAGGACAUGGCGACGUCCUAAAAAGCCUA
ncrna:unclassified sequences GP20-b RNA